rnacentral:lncRNA from 1 species
AGAAAUCUGAUGAGAAGGCUGACAGCUGUGGGAAGGAUGGACUUGUAGGCAACACAAAGAAGAGACGUUAGAAGUCCAUUGCACAGCCCGAAUUUAUAGGAGAUGCAGAUGAAAUCCGUUCCAGACCUCCAAGGAAAAUUAGCCUUUCUCUGACACACUCCUCAAAAUCCUUCCAGACUUGACCCACUAUUCACCACGGCAGCACAUCACCUCCAGAGUGAAGAAAAGUUUCAAACAUCAGGAAAAAAAAACAGCGCAUUGCAAAACAUAUUAGACUGAACCUAUCGAUGACAAAAUGCAACUGUGAAAUGUUGAGACUGUUCAUCAAAGCUGGACAUAAGCAGGAUCCAUUCCAUUUUCAAAGAGAGUUGGGGUCUCACUGCUAUGUCACCCAGACACAGAAGCUUCGACCUGCUCCAUUUCUGACCUAGGCCAUUUCACCUGUCCUCACCUGGUGGUCCCCCAUUCCAGGUCUUACACUCCUCUUUCAAGAGUACAUGAAGAAUGUGAUGUUCUAGACUUUGGAAUCAGCCCUUGGCCUUUGCACAUACCUGGCUUACGAUAUUGACUUUGUAAGACACAGUGCUACUCAAAAUGCGGUGAGCAAACUAGCACUGGUCCUCAAACUUUUUGUUAUAUGUCAUGAUGUAGUAAGUAGAGAAAGUGAAAAUAAGCCUUUAGAAUCUUUUAUGUUAAUCUGUCAAGUAAUUGCAUGUCUAUUGGAUCUCCUAACAAACUGGGGGCUUACAUUUUAUGUGUGUCUUUUUAAAUUUCAUUUUUUGACUAAUUCAUUUCUUAUUUUACAAAUUUGUCCAUCCAUGACAAAUUGGGGAAAAACUAGGAACUCAAAACAGAUAGUUUGAUAAACACCAUUCUAGAAUGUUGUAAAAUAAAUGAUGAGUUAAAUAGAAGCCACUUCUACACUGUAGUAUUCUUACCUGGAAAGUGGAUGUAACAAUAGUACUUCCCUCCUGGGGCUGGAUCUGAGACUUAAGGGAAGAUAUAUGUAUGUAAGGUACUUAGCACUAUUCCUGCUUUUGGUAAAUGCCCUCCAAAACAUUAGCUCUUAGUAAUAUUGAAUAACAAAGGCUUGAGGAGGUGCCAUUAUGUGCACAUGGGACAUCGUUUGUUUGCAAUGACUUUUCAAUGAAAUCCUCCAUCUACACGUGAUCUUCUGGAAUCAGACCAACUGAUUUCACAGAUCAAGAGUUCAUUUACCAUUGACUUCCAUGAAGGGACCAACAUUUGGCUUUUGGUCUUCCCUGACCUUUUAGCAUAACUACUUCAUCAUUAUGGUGUAAAACAUCCUUCCAUCGCAGGAUUCCUUUGUUUUCCUUAAGUCAUUAAACUGAGUAAUUGCUGCAGGCCUAAACAAUUGAAUUAUUCUGAUCUUUAUUGUUUGCUAGGAGCUUGUAUUAUUUGGGGGCCAACAUAAAAAUGACUUGUCACUCAAGGAUGGCAAGUAUAGAGACAUAAACUUUGGUUUCAAGAGAUAUAUUACUUAAGGUGGUGGCCCAUUGUACAAAGUAAAAAAUAUAACAUCUUUUCUAGUCAAAGUGGCCAAAGAAUAUUUUUCAAAGUGUGUUUUGGCUACAUGUCAAAAUUGAAGGUCAUUGUCCCUUUAACAGUCAUCUGGUGGCCAAAGAAAGCAGCCAGCUAUUUCAGGCCG